AUGCUGGUUGAGAUCUGCACCGUGGCUAUCUGCUGGGUCAUAACAGCAAGCUGUAGUCAGUGCAUAGCUCUAACCCAGAAGAAGCCCACUGUGGAGACACCCCCUCUCACAGAGGGAGAGAAGGCCACACUGACCUGCAAAGUAUAUUCACUCAAACUAAAUGACCUCUGCCCGCAAAGACUAGAAGAAGAUUUUGUUGGAAUAGUCUGGAGAGGGACAGAGAACUUAGGCAUGUAUUUUGGGAUAAUGGAGCCAUCAACAGCAGAAAAUACAUUCAGUGUGAAUAUGUUGUCUUUCACUCCUAAAUCCGAACAUCACAACAUCAACCUCACAUGUGUGGGCAUCUACAAGAAGGCCAACAUUACUGUGGAGAAAACGGUGACUUUAACAGUAAAAUACCGUCCCAAGUUCCUGAAUGGCUCGGUGUGUGUGGUCCAGGCAGAGGUCCUGACCUGUGUGUGUGUCAGUCAGGGGGUUCCCUUACCAGUGAUUGCUUGGCCAAUGUUAGGGGUCUAUAAUAGUUACAGUGUCAUCGUCUCUAGGAGUGCCCAAACCGUGAACAGCACCAUCACCAUGUCUGCCUCAGAAUACAAGAACAGCAGCAUGGAGUGUGUCAGCAGAAAUGUAAUUGGCCAGACCGAGAUGGAAUUCCCCAUACUACACCAAGCUGAAGGGAGCCUGAAACGUAAGUUCUUCAGUUGAACAUUCUAUGUAUGUAUAGGACUAGUGUUACAUUUUACAAUUUGAGUGAAGAAGAAUCACCAAUUCAAGUCUGCUCAAAUUCAGCUCAAAUCACAGACAUCAGGAACAACAUUGUCAUAGAACAAAAGUUGUGUCAAGUGCAAAAUUCACCAUUAAUCUCAUUAUAAUCUGGCAAUGUCUCAGCUCCUGCUUUUCCUAAAUUUCUCUUUUUCUCACCCUCCUGGUAUUGACCCUUGCCUGUCCUGACUGAGCCCGCCUGCCUGACCACUCUGCCUGCACCCCUAUACCUUUGCCUCUACUCUGGAUUUGCCUGCCCCUGUUGCUGUAAUAAACAUUGUUACUUCAACACAGUCUGCAUGUGGGUCUUAUCUGAAGCAUGACAGUACGAACUGGCCAUGACUGACCCAGCAGACUUGGACCAGCUCCGCAACGCCAUCUCCUCCCAAGGAGCCACCAUUGGUAGGCACGAGGAGUUGCUUCGCGGUCUGAUGGAAGUGUUCCAGGCCGUGGUCGAACGUCAUGAUCUAGCAUUGGACGCAUUGCAGGAGCAAUUCCGUGGGUUGCCUACUAGGCAGCCUACCAUGAUGAUAACCUCCCAGCCCCAGCUGGUAGCAGCGACGUCACCCCGGUUCCUUGGGAACCCUGCUUACCUCCCCCGGAGCGCUACGAUGGAGAUUCCAGAACCUGCCGGGCCUUUCUCUCCCAGUUCUCCCUCGUUUUCGAGCUGCACCCUUCUUCGUUCUCCUCAUACCGCACAACGAUAGUGUAUAUCAUUAUGCUGAUUUCCGGGAGGGCACUCGCUUGGGCCACGGUGGUGUGGGAGCAACAAUCUGUCGUCUGCCUCGGUCUGAAGGGAUUCGUGGCAGAGGUGAAACAAGUUUUUGAGCCCCUGACCCAGACUGCUGUCCUUGUACAUUUGCCUCUACUCUGGAUUACCGACCUCUGCCUGACCUGACCCUGAGCCUGCCUGCAGUCCUGUACCUUCGACCCGCUACUCUGGAUUUACCGACCUCUGCCUGACCUGACCCUGAGCCUGCCUGCAGUCCUGUACCUUCGUCCCGCUACUCUGGAUUACCAACCCCUGCCUGACCUGAGCCUGAGCCUGAGCCUGAGCCUGCCUCCAGUCCUGUACCUUCGACCUGCUACUCUGGAUUACCAACCCCUGCCUGACCUGAGCCUGAGCCUGCCUCCAGUCCUGUACCUUCGACCUGCUACUCUGGAUUACCAACCCCUGCCUGACCUGAGCCUGAGCCUGAGCCUGCCUCCAGUCCUGUACCUUCGACCUGCUACUCUGGAUUAUCGACCCCUGCCUGCCUUGACCUGUCGUUUGCCUGCCCCUGUUGUAAUAAACAUUGUUACUUCAACACAGUCUGCAUUUGGGUCUUACCUGAAGCGUGACAAUUAUGAAGUUCAUCGUAUUUUUUGUACUUAUUUUCCACUUUGAAAAUGUCACCUGAAGUGUGAAAAGACAAUUAAUCAAGAAAAAGUAUAUCAGUAAACACAUUUCCAUCCAACGUUUUUUACUAGUAAAGCCAUAACGUAUUAAAAAAAUCAUGACAUCUGUGAUGAAAACAGGA
rnacentral:lncRNA from 1 species